GACGAACGCUGGCGGCGUGCCUAAUACAUGCAAGUAGAACGCUGAAGAGAGGAGCUUGCUCUUCUUGGAUGAGUUGCGCGCGGGUGAGUAACGCGUAGGUAACCUGCCUUGUAGCGGGGGAUAACUAUUGGAAACGAUAGCUAAUACCGCAUAACAAUGGAUGACACAUGUCAUUUAUUUGAAAGGGGCAAUUGCUCCACUACAAGAUGGACCUGCGUUGUAUUAGCUAGUAGGUGAGGUAAUGGCUCACCUAGGCGACGAUACAUAGCCGACCUGAGAGGGGGAUCGCCCACACGGGGACUGGGCCACGGCCCAUGCUCCUACGGGAGGCAGCAGUAGGGAAUCUUCGGCAAUGGUGCAACCCUGACCGAGCAACGCCGCGGGAGUGAAGAAUGUUUUCGGAUCGUAAAGCUCUGUUGUAAGUCAAGAACGGGUGUGAGAGUGGAAAGUUCACACUGUGACGGUAGCUUACCAGAAAGGGACGGCUAACUACGUG
rnacentral:rRNA from 1 species